GACGAACGCUGGCGGCGUGCUUAACACAUGCAAGUCGAACGGAAAGGCCCUGCUUUUGUGGGGUGCUCGAGUGGCGAACGGGUGAGUAACACGUGAGUAACCUGCCCUUGACUUUGGGAUAACUUCAGGAAACUGGGGCUAAUACCGGAUAGGAGCUCCUGCUGCAUGGUGGGGGUUGGAAAGUUUCGGCGGUUGGGGAUGGACUCGCGGCUUAUCAGCUUGUUGGUGGGGUAGUGGCUUACCAAGGCUUUGACGGGUAGCCGGCCUGAGAGGGUGACCGGCCACAUUGGGACUGAGAUACGGCCCAGACUCCUACGGGAGGCAGCAGUGGGGAAUAGUGCACAAUGGGCGGAAGCCUGAUGCACCAACGCCGCGUGCGGGAUGACGGCCUUCGGGUUGUAAACCGCUUUCGCCUGUGACGAAGCAUGAGUGACGGUAAUGGGUAAAGAAGCACCGGCUAACUACGUG
rnacentral:rRNA from 1 species